AAACAAGAGAGCAAAGUAAUAGUCGUUCUCUUUCUCUCUUUCGCUCUCUCUAACUGACUCAUAAAGGUAAAAGGUGGUCGAAGGUUCGUUUUAAAAUCAUUAAUCAUCAUAGAUACAAUAAACGAAUUAUUUGUUUUGAAUUAUGACUAAUUGAAAUUAGGAAUACUGAGCAGAAAAGAACGCCCGAGAUGCAUCUAUGGACUGACCCCAGCCCCCCUUUCUGCUAAUCCGCACCUGUGCCAGGCAAACAACAGUAGCAACAACAACAGCAGCAGCAGCAGCAGUAGCAGUGGCAAUACGAAUAGCAACAACAUUCAAGUGGAUUUUUGUUUAAAGCACAAGCAGCAAAAAUGUCAGAAAUUUGUGUGCAGAGAUAAGCGACAUUCAAUUCAAUUAAUGGCGCGCGCAGCACAAAAAUACACAAACACAUAUAGACACACAGGCACAUAUACACACUCACACAUACACACAUUGCAGCAUAAAACUGGCGAGAGGCUGAGAAUAAAACUGUAAUCGAAAUCCCUGCAGAGCAAGAGUAACAGCAGCAGCAGAACCAUAUACAACACCAAAAACAACAACAACGACGACGCUAGCCAAGAGGCUCUUUCGGCAGCAGCACCGCGCAGCGAAUGCGAAGCAGUGUAGUAUGAGAAGAAAAAAUUUUCUUUCCACCAAACGUAAUUGCACUGCUGCUGUGCUUAAUUUUGCCAAUGGAUAUGCACAUAAAUCUGUUUAAAAUCUACUCACGCUUAAAAUUUAACACUUGUGGUCUGCUUUUGUGGCCAGUUUGUUUACUUUAAUGCACCAUAAGUAUAUGAAAUUUGUUAUUUAUUUUAAAUUGUUUAUCAUGAACUGCACACACGACGACGACGACAACGACGAACGACCGACGACAGACACGAAGUGUGUACAACACGAAUAAGCUACAAAAUAUGGUAUUUUACAGCACUGUCGUGCUGCCA